rnacentral:rRNA from 1 species
GACGAACGCUGGCGGCGUGCCUAAUACAUGCAAGUAGAACGCUGAAGGAGGAGCUUGCUUCUCUGGAUGAGUUGCGAACGGGUGAGUAACGCGUAGGUAACCUGCCUGGUAGCGGGGGAUAACUAUUGGAAACGAUAGCUAAUACCGCAUAAGAGUAGAUGUUGCAUGACAUUUGCUUAAAAGGUGCAAUUGCAUCACUACCAGAUGGACCUGCGUUGUAUUAGCUAGUUGGUGGGGUAACGGCUCACCAAGGCGACGAUACAUAGCCGACCGGCGAGGGUGGUCGGCCAGCCUGGGACGGAGACACGGCCCAGACGGCUACGGGUGGCAGCAGUAGGCAAUCGGCGGCAAGGGACGGAAGUCUGACCAAGAAACGCCGAGUGAGGGAAGAAGGAUGUCGGAUCGGAAAGCUCUGUUGUAAGGGUAGAAAGAGUGUGAGAGUGGAAAGUACACAGUGUGACGGUAUCUGACCAGAAAGGAACGGCUAACUACGUG